rnacentral:lncRNA from 1 species
CAGGAAGGAGGGACAGCUGUGUCCUCGUGGCCCCUGCACUGCAGGGCAGGGGCCCGGGCUGGCCUCACCCUCGCCCUCCAAGAUCGUCAAAGAGCGCACCCAGCAGUGGCCAGCUCAGUCCCAUCAGAGAAACCCCGAUGGGCUCAUUCACAAUCCCUUUCACCGCUGCCCACUGGUGAGAAGCUUGGAAGGCCCAGCACCUAGCUCAGCACCCUGAGGCCAGCCGCUCCGCCCUCACUCCUGUCUGUACCAGCACCAGGCUGCAGUGUCCUGACACCUGGGGCUCGGCCCUGCCUCCUCGAAAGGGAAGAUCCGACUGCAGAGACACUU